AGUACAGAGCUGUGGCCGAUGAUGAACUCCUGGGUGACCCAGCCCAGGCCAAGACAAGCACCCAUCCAGGAUAUCACUGUGGCUGCGGUCCUCAGACUCAUAGGGCGCCUCGGGCAGCUCGGAAUAAAGGAGAGAUGCGGCUGACAGUCUGUGAAGAACAUCGCCAGGGUCAUCAACACAUUCGCCAGACACGGACAGUCAGAAGGUGUUCCCUGGGAGGUCCAGCUGGCAGCUGUCUACACUGUCUACGACCUGUCGCCUAGCAACCCCAAGGAGGCUCUGGCUGCGCUGGCGUCAUGGCGAGGAGAGACCACCCAACCCGUCCCACCCGCUGUCACCAGCUGCAUCACACAGAUCGCCUCGCUCUGCCGACACAUCAAAACCUAGUCCCUAAAACCUAGCUCCUAACCCCUAGCUCCUAUUCCCUAGUCCCUUAAACGUAGCUCCUAUUCCCUAGUCUUUAACCCCUAGCUCCUAACCCAUAGCUCCUAACCCCUAGUCCCUUAAACGUAGCUCCUAUUCCCUAGUCUUUAACCCCUAGCUCCUAACCCAUAGCUCCUAACCCCUAGUCCCUUAAACGUAGCUCCUAUUCCCUAGUCUUUAACCCCUAACUCCUAAUCCCUAGUCCCUUAAACGUAGCUCCUAUUCCCUAGUCUUUAACCCCUAGCUCCUAACCCAUAGCUCCUAACCCCUAGUCCCUUAAACGUAGCUCCUAUUCCCUAGUCUUUAACCCUCCACACCCCUAGCUCCUAACCCCUAGCCCCUAACCACUAGCUCCUAAUCCCUAGUCCUUAAACCUUCCACACCCCUAACCCUUAGCUCCUAGCCCCUAACCCCUAGUCCCUAACCACUAGCUCCUAAUCCCUAGUCCUUAAGCCUUCCACACUCCUAACCCUUAGCUCCUAACCCCUAGGUCCUAAUCCCUAGUCCUUAACACCUCCACACCCAUAGCUCCUUAACCCCUAGUCCUUAACACCUCCACACCCCUAGCUCCUAAUCCCUAGUCCUUAACACCUCCACACCCAUAGCUCCUUAACCCCUAGUCCUUAACACCUCCACACCCCUAACCCCUAGCUCCUUAAUCCCUAGUCUUUAGCAGCUCCACACCCCUAGCUCCUAAUCCCUAGUCCUUAACACCUCCACACCCCUAACCCAUAGCUCCUAACCCCUCCUAAUCCCUAGCGCCUAACCCCUCCUAAUCCCUAGCUCCUAACCCCUCCUAACCCCUAGCUCCUAACCCCUCCUAACCCCUCCUAAUCCCUAGUCCUUAACACCUCCACACCCCUAACCCAUAGCUCCUAACCCCUCCUAAUCCCUCAGAAGCCCUAACCCCUCCUAAUCCCUAGCGCCUAACCCCUCCUAGCUCCUAACCCCUCCUAAUCCCUAGCUCCUAAUCCCUAGCUCCUAAUCCCUAGCUCCUAAUCCCUAGCUCCUAAUCCCUAGCUCCUAACCCCUAGCUCCUAACCCCUCCUAAUCCCUAGCUCCUAACCCCUAGCUCCUAACCCCUCCUAAUCCCUAGCUCCUAAUCCCUAGCUCCUAAUCCCUAGCUCCUAAUCCCUAGCUCCUAAUCCCUAGCUCCUAAUCCCUAGCUCCUAACCCCUAGCUCCUAACCCCUAGCUCCUAACCCCUAGCUCCUAACCCCUCCUAAUCCCUAGCUCCUAAUCCCUAGCUCCUAAUCCCUAGCUCCUAACCCCUAGCUCCUAACCCCUAGCUCCUAACCCCUCCUAAUCCCUAGCUCCUAACCCCUAGCUCCUAACCCCUCCUAAUCCCUAGCUCCUAACCCCUCCUAAUCUCUAGCUCCUAACCCCUAGCUCCUAACCCCUCCUAAUCCCUAGCUCCUAACCCCUCCUAAUCUCUAGCUCCUAACCCCUAGCUCCUAACCCCUCCUAAUCUCUAGCUCCUAACCCCUAGCUCCAUUGCCACUUGUACAGAUCUGAAAGGAUUUUCCUAGGUCCAAGUAUGUUGCCAAUCAGAGGACAAGGUGAAGCAGCAUCCAUUUGACUGUUAACCGAUCCAUACCUUUUCAGAUCUGACACCUUGAACCCUGCUGUGGACUGAACUUCUGGGACUCCUUUUAAUGUCCAUAUUAUUUAUCUGCUGGUUAACGCAUCACGUUCCCCUUGAUGUUUUCUGUUACGGUUCUUUAUAUGUUAAGCAUGACUUUGUAAAUAUGAUGUUGUGUACAAUAUCUUCUUACUUUUGUAAAUGUUUUGUAAAUGUUCACUGUUACAGAGCCUAUUAUUUCUAUUUAAUUUGACAAAUUAAAAUCUAAGAGGUAAA